rnacentral:rRNA from 1 species
UCGUGGAAUAAGAGCUGGGCAAGACCGGUGCCAGCCGCCGCGGUAAUACCGGCAGCUCAAAGUGAUGACCCGAUAUUAUUGGGCCUUAAAGCGUCCGUAGCCGGCCACGAAGGUUCAUCGGGAAAUUCCGCCAGCUCAACUGGCGGGCGUCCGGUGAAAACCACGUGGCUUGGGACCGGAAGGCUCGAGGGGUACGUCCGGGGUAGGAGUGAAAUCCCGUAAUCCUGGACGGACCACCGAUGGCGAAAGCACCUCGAGAAGACGGAUCCGACGGUGAGGGACGAAAGCUAGGGUCUCGAACCGGAUUAGAUACCCGGGUAGUCCUAGCUGUAAACGAUGCUCGCUAGGUGUGACACAGGCUACGAGCCUGUGUUGUGCCGUAGGGAAGCCGAGAAGCGAGCCGCCUGGGAAGUACGUCCGCAAGGAUGAAACUUAAAGGAAUUGGCGGGGGAGCACUACAACCGGAGGAGCCUGCGGUUUAAUUGGACUCAACGCCGGACAUCUCACCAGCUCCGACUACAGUGAUGACGAUCAGGUUGAUGACCUUAUCACGACGCUGUAGAGAGGAGGUGCAUGGCCGCCGUCAGCUCGUACCGUGAGGCGUCCUGUUAAGUCAGGCAACGAGCGAGACCCGCACUUCUAAUUGCCAGCAGCAGUUUCGACUGGCUGGGUACAUUAGAAGGACUGCCGCUGCUAAAGCGGAGGAAGGAACGGGCAACGGUAGGUCAGUAUGCCCCGAAUGAGCUGGGCUACACGCGGGCUACAAUGGUCGAGACAAUGGGUUGCUAUCUCGAAAGAGAACGCUAAUCUCCUAAACUCGAUCGUAGUUCGGAUUGAGGGCUGAAACUCGCCCUCAUGAAGCUGGAUUCGGUAGUAAUCGCAUUUCAAUAGAGUGCGGUGAAUACGUCCCUGCUCCUUGCACACACCGCCCGU